GACGAACGCUGGCGGCGUGCUUAACACAUGCAAGUCGAACGGAAAGGCCCUGCUUUGUGGGGUGCCCGAGUGGCGAACGGGGGAGUAAAAAGUGAGUUACCUGCCCCUGACUUUGGGAUUACUUUCGGAAACCGGGGCUUAUACCGGAAAGGAGGCUCCGCUGCCAGGUGGGGGUUGGGAAGGUUCGGCGGUUGGGGAUGGACUCGCGGCUUAUCAGCUUGUUGGUGGGGUAGUGGCUUACCAAGGCUUUGACGGGUAGCCGGCCUGAGAGGGUGACCGGCCACAUUGGGACUGAGAUACGGCCCAGACUCCUACGGGAGGCAGCAGUGGGGAAUAUUGCACAAUGGGCGGAAGCCUGAUGCAGCAACGCCGCGUGCGGGAUGACGGCCUUCGGGUUGUAAACCGCUUUCGCCUGUGACGAAGCGUGAGUGACGGUAAUGGGUAAAGAAGCACCGGCUAACUACGUG
rnacentral:rRNA from 1 species